GUGUCAGCAGCCGCGGUAACACGGGGGGAGCAAGCGUUGUUCGGAAUCACUGGGCGUAAAGGGCGUGUAGGCGGUCAGGUAAGUGGGACGUGAAAUGCCUCGGCUCACCCGAGGAGCGGCGUCCCAUACUGCUUGGCUUGAGUACGGGAGAGGAUGUGGGAAUUCCUGGUGUAGCGGUGAAAUGCGUAGAUAUCAGGAGGAACACCGGUGGCGAAGGCGCACAUCUGGCCCGAUACUGACGCUGAGGCGCGAAAGCUAGGGGAGCAAACGGGAUUAGAAACCCCCGUAGUCC
rnacentral:rRNA from 1 species